GGAACAUUCGGACCGUCGAUCUACCGAGCAAUAUGAUACGCUCAGUGGAAGAUCUUCCCUCCAUCGU
rnacentral:pre_miRNA from 1 species